rnacentral:lncRNA from 1 species
AUAGAAGGAAAAGCAAAGGCAAGACACGAGACACUGAAGAAAUACCAUUCGAAAUAGGCAUGGGCAUCAGGCAGCUCAGAAACAAUCUCUAACAAGGUCAGCAGAAAGUUGAAAGUAAGAAAACAGGAUUUUGCCUGCUCUUCCCUGCAGCAACAGCUGUGGCCUCUUGCAAAGCAAUUAAGCCUGUGGCUAGGAUUCCAGUCCCAUCUCAUCUCAGCAGCCUCGCAGCCUUGGAACGUUCUUGACGGAGACUCUUAAUCGAUGGCAUCUCUUUGUUUUUGCCCUGGCAUCUCAGAUGGUGGCAUUCCCGAGGCUGAUUAGCUCCAAGUUCCUUCCCUGUGAAGCCAAAGCCACCAUGUAAUUUCCAUUAGACCUGAAAAUGGUCCUGAUUUAAAGCUUAGAUGGAGCCCAUAAGCCAUCAUCUAAUCAUACUUAAAAAGUUACUGGCCUGGGCUGCAUGUUCUUCACUUCUUUAGCAGUAAAAUCAUUCUUAAAAAUAUAUCACUCUUUGUGAACCAUCAAAUCAGCCUGAUGACAGCCUACUUUAGAAUUGAGUGCUGCAGUAAAUGUCAGAACUCCGAUGCUGACUUUCUGUGUGACUUUGGGUUUUUCCUCCAAGUCUUGACUGAGGCUGAGUCUACAUGACACCAAAACAUCCAAAUGAAAAAGAAAAAUUCACUUGAACCACUUAGAUGUUUCUUCACCAAAUCCAGAUGUUUGGCAGUGCAGAUAAUACUUCUGGACAAUAAGUGACUCCCCCUACAAUCAACACUUUCAUCACACUGCUUUAAUUAAAAAAAUAAUUCCAAUGGUCUGACUGUGUGCAGUCUAUAAGAAUGGUAGAGUCUUGUAGAUUCAACCCUUGCAUUAAAAGAACCUUUGAGUCAUGAGUUUGACCAAAGUUGAGGUGAAGAUGCUUGUCCUGGGUGGAUGCUUCGUUGUUACCAUGAAGAAUUGUGGGUUAGGAAGUGAGCAUUUGUCCCAGCAUAAAUAAAUCCAGAUGCAAAACAUUCAAAGUGGAAAGAAUUAGAAACCUGACUCCUCCUUGGCAGUAGAGCUGUGGCAAAUAUUUUAAAAUAUCCACACUAUCCAAUUCUUUCAG